rnacentral:lncRNA from 1 species
AUGGAUGAUGACCAAGCGGCGGAGGUCAUCCAGGCUCACUACCGCCGGUACGUGACCCGGCGGGCCUUCGUUGAGACCAGGCAGGCGGCGGUCACCAUCCAAGCGCACUGGAGGGGCUACCGGGUCAGGCAGGAGAUGGACCUCCGGACGCGGCCCUCUGGCCCUGCUCGGAGCCCCCGGGCCGCUGGCUACGGCUACCGGCCUGGCCCUUCCGCCUGGGUGGGUCCCUACCCGAGGAAGCACUGGCGCAAGUGCCUGGUGGGAGACCCCGAAGAGUGGGCCAGCGUGCUGACCCCGGGCCAGCACCAGCCCAGGGAGCGACAGCGACGGACGCCGGACCGGACCAAGAGGUGCCCCGACUGCGGCCGGUGCACCAACGUCCGUGUGCUCGUCGGGGUGGGCAAGGGCUGGACCUCUGAGUCAGAGAUGGAGGAGGAGAGCGAGGGCGAGGGACGCGUCCUCCGCUCCCCUUCUAGACGGCGGCCGAAGCCCCGGGAGGCUCAGGACCGCCUCAGGCGGCACCCCGACCGGGGCCACGUGUCCUGCGAAGUCCACGGCAAAGCUCGCUACUCCAGCCCCUGGCAGGUGGGGACGGAGGACCAGCCCCGGAGGCCAGGGGGGAGACCCGGAGACCCUGGCCUGCACUAUGCCGCCACCGCCACCGCGCACACAUCAGUCCGGUUCACGCGGGAGCGGACGACCGUCCGGAGCCUCUCCUCCACCAGCCUGCAGCCGCCAGGCCCGUUCUCCCCAGGCGGCACCGACUGGCUGUACGAAAGCUUCGGGGCCCGCCGGGUGGGCGAAGGCCAGAAGCGGGUGUUCAAGACUAGGAAGCAGGUGUGGCAGAUAGCGCGGGCUGCCACGCUCAUCCAGUCCUUCUGGCGGGGCUGGAAGGUGCGCCAGGCCCUGCGGCUGCAGCAGGAGGCGGCCACCAAGAUCCAGUCCGCCUACCGGGGUUACAAGACCAGGAUGUACCUCUACGAGGUGGGAGUGCUGAGUGAAGGCGAUACAGAGUAA